UUUUAAAAAAUUUAUCCAUUUUUACUGUUAAAAAUUAGUAUAAAUGAUAGGAUAACCAAAUAAUUACACGUUGCAAGCAACAUGUAUCACAUUUCGAAGUACAAUGAUCAACUUUUAACAAUAAAAAUGAAUAAAAUUUUUAAAG
rfam:Gossypium raimondii Chr07_contig_26, whole genome shotgun sequence.